GGUUUUGUUGAAACAUACAAAGCUAUGACUAAAUUUAGUGGUUCUUGCUGAAGUCAAAUUUUUGAUUAUCUUUGCUAACUCCAUUUUCUCAGCACCAGCUCAGGAGCCCUGUCCCAUCUGCAUGGAAAUGUUUACCGCUGACUUUAUUGAAGUACAUGCUAAGUCUUGCAACAUCAUUGAUGUUGACAAUGAUGAAGACAACCUGGAUAAUAUGGAGGAUAACAGUGAACAAGGUGAGAGACAAUAGUAAAAAAUAAAUGUAGCAUUUUCAAUAGAUUGACAUUCAGUAUGGAUGGCCUAAAAGCACAAUUUUUGAUAAGGGCAAAUGGUUUUGUUGAAACAUACAAAGCUAUGACUAAAUUUAGUGGUUCUUGCUGAAGUCAAAUUUUUGAUUAUCUUUGCUAACUCCAUUUUCUCAGCACCAGCUCAGGAGCCCUGUCCCAUCUGCAUGGAAAUGUUUACCGCUGACUUUAUUGAAGUACAUGCUGCUUUGUGUGGUGAAAGGUACAUUAUAUACUGUAAUUCAGUUUUAUUUGUGCUGAAGUCAAAUUUUUGAUUAUCUUUGCUAACUCCAUUUUCUCAGCACCAGCUCAAGGAGCCCUGUCCCAUCUGCAUGGAAAUGUUUACCGCUGACUUUAUUGAAGUACAUGCUGCUUUGUGUGGUGAAAGAGUGGCUCACGGUACAAGACCCUACCAAGGUCAUGUCUCUGUUUCGGGAAUCUAUUCUUAGCCAUCAUGAAAGUAAGAAUCCCUUACUUCUCAGCAUAAAUAUUAGAAAGAGCCCUGCUGAACAAGACGCUGCGCUCAUCUGCUUCUAUAAGAAGCCGAAUGUGGAAUGGGCAUGACCCUUGAAUUGCAGACUUGAAGGUAGCUUCAAUUUCAUGUCAAAGUAGUUAAAGCCUACCUUAAGUAUUGCUUUUCCCUUUUACUAUAUCA
rnacentral:lncRNA from 1 species